GGGUUGUGAGGUUAAGCGACUAAGCGUACACGGUGGAUGCCCUGGCAGUCAGAGGCGAUGAAGGGCGUGCUAAUCUGCGAUAAGCGCCGGUAAGGUGAUAUGAACCGUUAUAACCGGCGAUACCCGAAUGGGGAAACCCAGUGUGAUUCGUCACACUAUCAUUAACUGAAUCCAUAGGUUAAUGAGGCGAACCGGGGGAACUGAAACAUCUAAGUACCCCGAGGAAAAGAAAUCAACCGAGAUUCCCCCAGUAGCGGCGAGCGAACGGGGAGGAGCCCAGAGCCUGAAUCAGCAUGUGUGUUAGUGGAAGCGUCUGGAAAGGCGCGCGAUACAGGGUGACAGCCCCGUACACAAAAGCGCAUGUGCUGUGAGCUCGAUGAGUAGGGCGGGACACGUGGUAUCCUGUCUGAAUAUGGGGGGACCAUCCUCCAAGGCUAAAUACUCCUGACUGACCGAUAGUGAACCAGUACCGUGAGGGAAAGGCGAAAAGAACCCCGGCGAGGGGAGUGAAAAAGAACCUGAAACCGUGUACGUACAAGCAGUGGGAGCACNNNNNNNNNNNNNNNNNNNNNNNNNNNNNNNNNNNNNNNNNNNNNNNNNNNNNNNGGGCGUUAAGUUGCAGGGUAUAGACCCGAAACCCGGUGAUCUAGCCAUGGGCAGGUUGAAGGUUGGGUAACACUAACUGGAGGACCGAACCGACUAAUGUUGAAAAAUUAGCGGAUGACCUGUGGCUGGGGGUGAAAGGCCAAUCAAACCGGGAGAUAGCUGGUUCUCCCCGAAAGCUAUUUAGGUAGCGCCUCGUGAAUUCAUCUCCGGGGGUAGAGCACUGUUUCGGCUAGGGGGCCAUCCCGGCUUACCAACCCGAUGCAAACUGCGAAUACCGGAGAAUGUUAUCACGGGAGACACACGGCGGGUGCUAACGUCCGUCGUGAAGAGGGAAACAACCCAGACCGCCAGCUAAGGUCCCAAAGUCAUGGUUAAGUGGGAAACGAUGUGGGAAGGCCCAGACAGCCAGGAUGUUGGCUUAGAAGCAGCCAUCAUUUAAAGAAAGCGUAAUAGCUCACUGGUCGAGUCGGCCUGCGCGGAAGAUGUAACGGGGCUAAACCAUGCACCGAAGCUGCGGCAGCGACACUGUGUGUUGUUGGGUAGGGGAGCGUUCUGUAAGCCUGUGAAGGUGUGUCGUGAGGCAUGCUGGAGGUAUCAGAAGUGCGAAUGCUGACAUAAGUAACGAUAAAGCGGGUGAAAAGCCCGCUCGCCGGAAGACCAAGGGUUCCUGUCCAACGUUAAUCGGGGCAGGGUGAGUCGACCCCUAAGGCGAGGCCGAAAGGCGUAGUCGAUGGGAAACGGGUUAAUAUUCCCGUACUUGGUGUUACUGCGAAGGGGGGACGGAGAAGGCUAUGUUGGCCGGGCGACGGUUGUCCCGGUUUAAGCGUGUAGGUGUGUGUUCCAGGUAAAUCCGGUUCACUUUAACACUGAGGCGUGACGACGAGGCACUACGGUGCUGAAGCAACAAAUGCCCUGCUUCCAGGAAAAGCCUCUAAGCAUCAGGUAACAUCAAAUCGUACCCCAAACCGACACAGGUGGUCAGGUAGAGAAUACCAAGGCGCUUGAGAGAACUCGGGUGAAGGAACUAGGCAAAAUGGUGCCGUAACUUCGGGAGAAGGCACGCUGACACGUAGGUGAAGUGAUUUACUCAUGGAGCUGAAGUCAGUCGAAGAUACCAGCUGGCUGCAACUGUUUAUUAAAAACACAGCACUGUGCAAACACGAAAGUGGACGUAUACGGUGUGACGCCUGCCCGGUGCCGGAAGGUUAAUUGAUGGGGUCAGCGCAAGCGAAGCUCCUGAUCGAAGCCCCGGUAAACGGCGGCCGUAACUAUAACGGUCCUAAGGUAGCGAAAUUCCUUGUCGGGUAAGUUCCGACCUGCACGAAUGGCGUAAUGAUGGCCAGGCUGUCUCCACCCGAGACUCAGUGAAAUUGAACUCGCUGUGAAGAUGCAGUGUACCCGCGGCAAGACGGAAAGACCCCGUGAACCUUUACUAUAGCUUGACACUGAACAUUGAGCCUUGAUGUGUAGGAUAGGUGGGAGGCUUUGAAGUGUGGACGCCAGUCUGCAUGGAGCCGACCUUGAAAUACCACCCUUUAAUGUUUGAUGUUCUAACGUGGACCCGUUACCCGGGUUGCGGACAGUGUCUGGUGGGUAGUUUGACUGGGGCGGUCUCCUCCUAAAGAGUAACGGAGGAGCACGAAGGUUGGCUAAUCCUGGUCGGACAUCAGGAGGUUAGUGCAAUGGCAUAAGCCAGCUUGACUGCGAGCGUGACGGCGCGAGCAGGUGCGAAAGCAGGUCAUAGUGAUCCGGUGGUUCUGAAUGGAAGGGCCAUCGCUCAACGGAUAAAAGGUACUCCGGGGAUAACAGGCUGAUACCGCCCAAGAGUUCAUAUCGACGGCGGUGUUUGGCACCUCGAUGUCGGCUCAUCACAUCCUGGGGCUGAAGUAGGUCCCAAGGGUAUGGCUGUUCGCCAUUUAAAGUGGUACGCGAGCUGGGUUUAGAACGUCGUGAGACAGUUCGGUCCCUAUCUGCCGUGGGCGCUGGAGAACUGAGGGGGGCUGCUCCUAGUACGAGAGGACCGGAGUGGACGCAUCACUGGUGUUCGGGUUGUCAUGCCAAUGGCACUGCCCGGUAGCUAAAUGCGGAAGAGAUAAGUGCUGAAAGCAUCUAAGCACGAAACUUGCCCCGAGAUGAGUUCUCCCUGAGACUUAAAGUCUCCUGAAGGAACGUUGAAGACGACGACGUUGAUAGGCCGGGUGUGUAAGCGCAGCGAUGCGUUGAGCUAACCGGUACUAAUGAACCGUGAGGCUUAACCUUACAACGCCGAAG
rnacentral:rRNA from 1 species